rnacentral:rRNA from 1 species
GAUAGUCUAACCCUCGGGAGGACGUUUACCACGGAGUGAUUCAUGACUGGGGUGAAGUCGUAACAAGGUAGCCCUAGGGGAACCUGGGGCUGGAUCACCUCCUUAUACGA